GACGAACGCUGGCGGCGUGCCUAAUACAUGCCAGUCGAGCGCUGAAGGAUGGUCCUUGUCCUAACUGGAUGAGCAGCGAACGGGUGGGUAACUCGUGGGGAAUCUGCCUUUGAGCGGGGGACAACAUUUGGAAACGAAUGCUAAGAACGCAUAAAUACUUUAAAUACAAGUUUUAAGUUUGAAAGAUGCAAUUUCAUCACUCAAAGAUGUUCCCGCGUUGUAUUAGCUAGUUGGUGAGGUAAAGGCUUACCAAGGCGAAGAUACAUAGCCGACCUGAGAGGGGGAUCGGCAGAAUUGGGCCUGAGACAUGCCCCAACACCCUGGGAGAGGCAGCCGUCGCGAAUCCUGGGGAAUGGACGAAAGUCUGACCGUGCAACGCUGCGUGAAUGAAGAAGGUAUUCGGAUCGUAAAACUCAGUUGGUACAGAAGAGCGUUGGGGGGUGUGGAAAGCUAUUCAAAUGACGGUACCUUGCCAGAAAGGGACGGCUAACUCCGUG
rnacentral:rRNA from 1 species